rnacentral:antisense_RNA from 1 species
AUCUUGUUACCCAUGCAAUGUUGGGGUCAGAGAGUGUAGAGAGUGGUGUGGGGAGAAUGCAGGCUGAAGAGUUACCUAAGGUCAAAAUCCUGACCUAGGAGCCAAGCCAUCGAUUUGGGAUUUCUACUGAGGGCACCGGAAGUCACUAAGAGCAUCUGAAUGCCUGGACCCACGCCUUCAUCAAUCUACUGUCAGGGAUAGAUUGUGCAUUUUCUGUGUCCCAGUGAGUGGCCCCCCAAAAUAGAGCAGACAAGGCCUGGUCCGCAAGGGUACUGGUUUAGUUCAACAAAUAUCCGUAGAAUGCCCACUUAGGCAAAAUGGCAUAGGGCAGAUUGCCAAAAUCAGGGUUGACUCGGCCUGGAGCCGUGAAGUGGGUCCAAUAGGUCUCUGAACUGAGGCGGGAGGCCCCAGGAUCCCGAGGUGUGCUGCAAAGCCUUUGAUGACAGCAUCUUGUGCCUAAUACCUGGCCACAUCUGAGCCACUAGAGACAGUACCUGAUAAGGAUGCAGAUGCCUGGGCCCUACUUUCCAAAGUUCUGGCUCAGUAGGUCUGGGG